GAGGGUAUAGCUCAAGUGGUAGAGUGCCUGCUUAGCAUGCACAAGGGCCUGGGUUCGAUACCCAGUACAUCCG
rnacentral:tRNA from 1 species